UACGUAGGCAGCAAGCGUUGUUCGGAGUUACUGGGCGUAAAGGGUGUGUAGGCGGUUCUUAAGUUUGGUGUGAAAUCUCCCGGCUUAACCGGGAGGGUGCGCCGAAUACUGAGGGACUAGAGUACGGGAGAGGAAAGUGGAAUUCCUGGUGUAGCGGUGAAAUGCGUAGAUAUCAGGAGGAACACCGGUGGUGUAGACGGCUUUCUGGACCGUAACUGACGCUGGAGAACACGAAAGCGUGGGGAGCAAACAGG
rnacentral:rRNA from 1 species